ACGAACGCUGGCGGCGUGCUUAACCCAUGCCAGUCGAACGGAAAGGCCCUGCUUUUGUGGGGUGCUCGAGUGGCGAACGGGUGAGUAACACGUGAGUAACCUGCCCUUGACUUUGGGAUAACUUCAGGAAACUGGGGCUAAUACCGGAUAGGAGCUCCUGCUGCAUGGUGGGGGUUGGAAAGUUUCGGCGGUUGGGGAUGGACUCGCGGCUUAUCAGCUUGUUGGUGGGGUAGUGGCUUACCAAGGCUUUGACGGGUAGCCGGCCUGAGAGGGUGACCGGCCACAUUGGGACUGAGAUACGGCCCAGGCUCCUACGGGAGGCAGGAGUGGGGAAUAUUGCACACUGGGCGGAAGCCUGAUGCAGCAACGCCGCGUGCGGGAUGACGGCCUUCGGGUUGUAAACCGCUUUCGCCUGUGACGAAGCGUGAGUGACGGUAAUGGGGAAAGAAGCACCGGCUAACUACGU
rnacentral:rRNA from 1 species